AGUAAAUAGAUACCCCGGUAGUCCACGCCGUAAACGAUGAGUACUAGGUGUAGGAGGUAUCGACUCCUUCUGUGCCGCAGUUAAACACAAUAAGUACUCCGCCUGGGAAGUACGGUCGCAAGAUUAAAAACUCAAAGGAAUUGACGGGGGCCCGCACAAGCAGCGGAGCAUGUGGUUUAAAAUUCGAAGCAACGCGAAGAACCUUACCUAGACUUGACAUCUCCUGAAUAGUGUAGAGAUACAUGAAGCCCUUCGGGGCAGGAAGACAGGUGGUGCAUGGUUGUCGUCAGCUCGUGUCGUGAGA
rnacentral:rRNA from 1 species